rnacentral:rRNA from 1 species
UGGUCCAGGUAGCUGCCUUCGCCAUGGAUGUUCCUCCCGAUCUCUACGCAUUUCACUGCUACACCGGGAAUUCCGCUACCCUCUACCACACUCUAGUUGUCCAGUUUCCACUGCAGUUCCCAGGUUGAGCCCAGGGCUUUCACAACAGACUUAAACAACCACCUACGCACGCUUUACGCCCAGUAAUUCCGAGUAACGCUUGCACCCUUCGUAUUACCGCGGCUGCUGGCACGAAGUUAGCCGGUGCUUAUUCUUUGGGUACCGUCAUCCCAACCAGGUAUUAGCCGGCUGGAUUUCUUUCCCAACAAAAGGGCUUUACAACCCGAAGGCCUUCUUCACCCACGCGGUAUGGCUGGAUCAGGCUUGCGCCCAUUGUCCAAUAUUCCCCACUGCUGCCUCCCGUAGGAGUCUGGACCGUGUCUCAGUUCCAGUGUGGCUGAUCAUCCUCUCAGACCAGCUACGGAUCGUCGCCUUGGUGGGCCUUUACCCCGCCAACUAGCUAAUCCGACAUCGGCUCAUUCAAUCGCGCAAGGCCCGAAGGUCCCCUGCUUUCACCCGUAGGUCGUAUGCGGUAUUAGCGUAAGUUUCCCUACGUUAUCCCCCACGAAAAAGUAGAUUCCGAUGUAUUCCUCACCCGUCCGCCACUCGCCACCCAAGGAGCAAGCUCCUCUGUGCUGCCGUUCGACUUGCAUGUGUUAG